UGCAAUAGACUUAUAUCAUUUUUCAUGGGUGGUAACUGUCCUUGUGUUGCAGGUUUGAGGUCUACCGUAAGGCUUGCCAACAAAUUGAUCUAAGGACAUCCAAGGCAUAGAACAAUGGUAAGACUAUUGGUACUUACUCAUCUCUCAUGCGUAAUGAUGAACUUGGUGAAGUAUGUCUAACUGUGAUAGUUAAUGUUAUGCAGCAUGGAGACCAAAACACCUCUGGUUUGCUUCAAUGCCAAUCAUGUCAGCAAAAUCAACACUUGUUUUUCGCCACUGCCUGCACGAUGUUACCAGCAAUGCCUUUAGCUUCAAGCAGACUGUGUAGAGGUAUGCCAAAUGGAGUGGCCCAUAUGUUUGCAAGUUGUAAUUUUGCAAAUUU
rnacentral:lncRNA from 1 species